rnacentral:rRNA from 1 species
UACGUAGGGUGCAAGCGUUGUCCGGAAUUAUUGGGCGUAAAGAGCUCGUAGGCGGUUUGUCGCGUCUGCUGUGAAAAACUCGGGGCUUAACCCCGGGCCUGCAGUGGGUACGGGCAGACUAGAGUGCGGUAGGGGGAGACUGGAAUUCCUGGUGUAGCGGUGAAAUGCGCAGAUAUCAGGAGGAACACCGGUGGCGAAGGCGGUUCUCUGGGCAUUACCUGACGCUGAGGAGCGAAAGUGUGGGGAGCGAACAGG